UCCUCAUUAGUAUAGUGGUGAGUAUUCCCGCCUGUCACACAGGAGACUGGGGUUCGAUUCUCCGAAGGGGAG
rnacentral:tRNA from 1 species